rnacentral:rRNA from 1 species
GACGAACGCUGGCGGCGUGCUUAACACAUGCAAGUCGAACGGAAAGGCCCUGCUUUUGUGGGGUGCUCGAGUGGCGAACGGGUGAGUAACACGUGAGUAACCUGCCCUUGACUUUGGGAUAACUUCAGGAAACUGGGGCUAAUACCGGAUAGGAGCUCCUGCUGCAUGGUGGGGGGUGGAACGUUUCUGCGGUUGGGGAUGGACUCGCGGCUGAUCAGCUUGUUGGUGGGGGAGUGGCUUACCAAGGCUUUGAAGGGUAGCCGGCCUGAGAGGGUGACCGGCGACAUUGGUACUGAGAUACGGCCCAGACUCCUACGGGAGGCAGCAGUGGGGAAUAUUGCACAAUGGGCGGGAGCCUGAUGCAGCAACGCCGCGUGCGUGAUGACGGCCUUCGGGUUGUAAACCGCUUUCGCCUGUGACGAAGCGUGAGUGACGGUAAUGGGUAAAGAAGCACCGGCUAACUACGUG